rnacentral:rRNA from 1 species
GAUGAACGCUGGCGGCGUGCCUAAUACAUGCAAGUAGAACGCUGAAGCUUGGUGCUUGCACCGAGCGGAUGAGUUGCGAACGGGUGAGUAACGCGUAGGUAACCUGCCUCUUAGCGGGGGAUAACUAUUGGAAACGAUAGCUAAUACCGCAUAAAAGUCGAUAUCGCAUGAUAUUGAUUUGAAAGGUGCAAAUGCAUCACUAAGAGAUGGACCUGCGUUGUAUUAGCUAGUUGGUGAGGUAACGGCUCACCAAGGCGACGAUACAUAGCCGACCUGAGAGGGUUAUCGGCCACACUGGGACUGAGACACGGCCCAGACUCCUACGGGAAGCAGCAGUAGGGAAACUUCGGCAAUGGGGGCAACCCUGAACGAGCAACGCCGCGUGAGUGAAGAAGGGUUUCGGAUCGUAAAGCUCUGUUGUAAGAGAAGAACGAGUGUGAGAGUGGAAAGUUCACACUGUGACGGUAACUUACCAGAAAGGGACGGCUAACUACGUG